rnacentral:lncRNA from 1 species
GCCCAACCGAACCGGGGCUAUAGGCCCUUUUCCUACUAGUGAUAUAUUUCAUCCCGCUUUACUACCAUGUUAUGUUCUGUCCUCGUUUGAUGAAUUAUUGCUUAUAGACAAUUGAUAUGUUAGGAAGUUUUCAACAAUUUAUGUUUUUCUUUUUCAAUUUCUGAAGCACUAGUCACCCAAUUCUUUAUGCCAGUCUUUGCAGAGGCAUACCACACGUCCAAUUACCCACCACACCCACCUUAUCUUUGAUAGAGUCAUCGCUCAUUUAAUUUCAGUUAUGUAAUAUUGAGAAAUGACACAUCAAUACACGAGACACAAACUUAACUCCAUAUAUAGAUACUCCCUUCAUUCCCUUAUACAAGGCCACAAAAUCAUAUUACAGGUACCAACGUAAAAUUUAAUGAUUACUUUUCAAGCCAAGUUCUCUUUUCGUUAAUCGGGAUCAUUCAUACUCCCUCCAUCUCAGUAUAUAAGUCCUACACAUGUAUCUAGGUCGUCAAUUUGACCAACUAAAUGAUAAGCAUAUAUUACAAAAAGUAUAUCAUUAAAAACUUCAGAUGUUCUAUUUUCUAAUGACAUAAUUUUUAUAUUAAACAAUAAAUUUUAUAUAAGUCAAACUGAUGACCUAGAUACACGUGCGUGCUUUUAAACUGUGACGGAGGUAGUACAUUACAUGCAUACAAAGAAGAAAUGAGAGGGAAGUAGUUUAGUGUCACUAUGACUGCAUGCAUUCAAGUAUUACACGGGUUGAUAGUACGAGGAAACAACAUUAAUUUUUGCCUCGAUAACUGUUAAUGGCCUUGUAUAGAUGUAAAAUGUAUUUUCUAUAAUGGCCUUAUAUAAGGGAACGAAGGGAGUAUACAAGACAUAUCCACACUUGCUUCCUCUCAUGCAUCUCUCUUCUUCACGUAGUGACCACGGCAUAGGAGGUGUCGUGAAGCGAACAGUAACAGCAUUUCCUUUCAUGACAACAACGUUGUGGAAUCAGGUAAUAAACUACUCCCGUGGACCAAGGCACGAUACUCUUGGAAGCCACGAAGACCCCCGCCUCUUCUAGUGCCUCCUGGCUCCCUCUCCGUUCUCUUAUGGUGUAUGAUGACUGGUUGCAGGUGGUCCGUUCGACGAUCUUCCGUGGCGAUAGCCGUGUCUUGUUUUGCUCUUCUGAGUUCUCCGUCCGAGUCAGAGUUGCGUUGUCUGGCCGCCGGUCGACAAGUUGUCGAUAAGGGCGGGCUUUUCUGUGAGUGUUUCAGUCUAUGGAAGUGGGCUUGGCCCUUAUUAUUCCGCUUUUUUCCCAGCUUUUGUAAUUAACUAAACAAUUCUCUUCUUAUUUAAUAGAUGAGUCAGUCUUUGCCUCCGUUUAAAAAAAAGAUACUCUUGGAAGCCACGAAGGCCCCCGCCUCUUCUAGUGCCUCAAGGAGAGUUUCGGAUUUCGUUCGAAAAAAACUAAUUUCGUCCGAAAUUCGCCCAUUUCAUUUUGUCCCGGUAUUAGUACAAACCGGUCAAAAAACUCAGCCUUUUUUGAACUUUCAGCCCGGCCAUGGUCAAAAAUAGCCCGCAUAUAUCCUCACUGGUAUAAAAACUGC